AGAAUAUAACUAUUUCUGCUCAAUGUAUGAACAGGUUGUAUUGUCAUAAAUGCAUGUUGAACUGAAAGUGUAGGCAAUUUUCUAUCUCAAUAUAUGAUGUACUGCCAUGUUGCAUCGAUGUGGCUCUACAUCUGCGGAAAAAAAUCUCAUUUUUUGAGAUCAAAUCUGAAAUCAAUGAUUGUUAGAUUUUACUUGAAUCAUUGUUGGCAUAAGAAUGAGUUAGAUUUUGCUCUCCGAACUCUGGAUAAUAUAGGUUGUAAUAGGCAACUCAGUUGCAAUUCUCUUUCUACUUCUUUUCACGUAAAGAAAUUCGAUGUUUCAUUCAAUUAUGUACAAGCACAAGAUUUUUUUUCCUAAUGCUAACUUUAUGUUUAGUUUGCUUA